rnacentral:rRNA from 1 species
GACGAACGCUGGCGGCGUGCUUAACACAUGCAAGUCGAACGGAAAGGCCCUGCUUUUGUGGGGUGCUCGAGUGGCGAACGGGUGAGUAAUACGUGAGUAACCUGCCCUUGACUUUGGGAUAACUUCAGGAAACUGGGGCUAAUACCGGAUAGGAGCUCCUGCUGCAUGGUGGGGGUUGGAAAGUCUCGGCGGUUGGGGUUGGACGCGCGGUUAAUGAGCUUGUUGGUGGGGAAGUGGCUCACCAAGGCUUGGACGGGUAGCCGGCCUGGAAGGGUGACAGGCUCCAUAGGCCUAGGGGACGGCCCAGUGCGCAAUCUGGGGCAAGGGGCGGAAACCUUAGCCAACCGGCCGGAGUCCGUGUACAAGACCUCCGGGUGGGGAUGACGUCCUUCUGGUUGUAAACCGCUUUCGCCUGUGACGAAGCGUGAGUGACGGUAAUGGGUAAAGAAGCACCGGCUAACUACGUG